UACGUAGGGUGCAGGCGUUAAUCGGAAUUACUGGGCGUAAAGCGUGCGCAGGCGGUUUCUUAAGUCAGAUGUGAAAGCCCCGGGCUCAACCUGGGAAUUGCGAUGGAGACUGCAAGGCUUGAAUCUGGCAGAGGGGGGUAGAAUUCCACGUGUAGCAGUGAAAUGCGUAGAGAUGUGGAGGAACACCGAUGGCGAAGGCAGCCCCCUGGGUCAAGAUUGACGCUCAUGCACGAAAGCGUGGGGAGCAAACAGG
rnacentral:rRNA from 1 species